GUGCGAGGGGGUAAAAAAAUAUGAGUGAGUGAGUGACAGUUCUGUGGGUGAAAACAAACGCUUUGUUGAUAAGAGAGGUCAGAGAAAAUGGACAGAUUGGUUUGAGCUACCAGGAAGGAUAUAGUAACUCAUAUAAUCACUCUUUACAACCGUGGUGAGCAGAAAAGCAUCUCGGCAUACAACAGCAGAACAGAAGAUCAUACUGGGUUCCACUCCUGCCAGCCAAGAACAGGAACCUUAGAUUCAAGAACAAGUUCCUACUAAAGUGGCCGGUCUCCUGGACAGGUCUAAAAAGUCGUUCCCACACCAUGCCCUGGUUUUCCCAGGCAGUCUCUCAUCCCAGUACUAACCAGGCCCUUAAAGCGCAUUGGGCGGUGCCGAUCUCCAUAGUCCUCAGCCUCUCGCCUAUACAGCUAGGAUUACAGUGGGUGACCAGUCAUCUGGUAACUGCGAGAGUUUGACUUCCCACUCACAUCUGUAUUGCAGUAGGUACCAUUUUUAUGAUGGUCUUUGGUAUGACCCAACCAUGAGAAGAACUCACAAUCUCCUGAUCAAGAGGAGGACAAGCUAACCACUAGGCCAGCUCGCGAUCUCCUAGACAGAAUAUCUGACCACCCACCACCAACACUAUCCUAUCAUACGACAACUACCAACCAGGGAGGAUGAAAGUUAAUACGUUCUUCCUCCAAGACAUGUAAAACCAACCAACCUCGUCUUUUCAAACUGCUGCUCAUGGUGCAUCACAGGGCAACAUGACACUCUCCGAGAUGGUGCCCUGUGAUGUUCCAUUCAGGGUGUCCCCCUGCCUCAUAACCAGCGUACCCAGGAUAGGCUCCGGAUUCAGCACAACCCUGACCAGGAUAAAGUGGAGAUGAAUGGACGAGUACCAGAUCAUGUCCGUGAAUCUGCUUUCUUUCCUGUCCCCUCUCUCUUUCCCUCCAAAACCAAACAAGAGCAGAAGUGACGCAAAAGAGGACCAGAGGAAAAAAAAUUCAAUAACAAAGACUAAAAUUGCUCCCAUUUCCACGUUCUUGUUCGUGCGGCUCCAUCGUAGUUGUGAUUAAGGAUGGAUUAGCAUGAGAAUGAAAUUGAGCUCGGUAUGCAUGCCUAGGGAGUGUGUA